rnacentral:rRNA from 1 species
AUGUCUUCCUCCGGCUCCUCCCAGAUCGGCCUCAACAACCAGGUCACGGAGAAGCUCACCCGUAUGAACUACGUACUGUGGCGUGUCCAGAUCACGGCGCAACUAAGGGGAGCUGGCGUCUUCGGCUAUGCCAACGGCAACACGCCGGAGCCAGCCCGCUUCCUUCCUGGCAAGGACAAGGACGGCAAGGACUCCACCGAGCCCAACCCUCUCCACCCAAUUUGGGUCCGGGAGGAUCAACAAGUGCUCGGGUACCUUCUCAACAAUCUCUCCAAAGAGGUGUUAGUGCAGGUGACCGCGAUCACCACGACGCACGCGCUCUGGACAACCCUGGCAGCCAUGUUCUCCUCGGAGUCGCUUAGCCGCAUCAACAACAUCCGCACGGCUCUGCUUCAUGCCCAGAAGGGAACCCAGCCGGUCGCCACCUUCUUCGCCCACAUGCGCGGCCUCGCCGAUGAGCUCGCCGCGGCCAGCAAACCGCUCCAAGAUGACGAGAUCGUCUCCUACAUCAUCCACGCGCUGGACAUGGAGUACCAGCCUCUGGUGUCGGCCCUCGACGCUCGCACCUCCCCCGUCACCCUGGAUGAGUUGUUCACCAUGCUCAGCAACUUCGAUCAGCGCAUGGCACUCUACCAGGGGUCGGGCGGUUUCAAGUCCUCCGCGAACGCCGCCUCUCGUGGCCGCGGCAGCCGCCGUGGAGAAAACGGAAGUGAAAACAGAGAAGAAAAUGAUGCACAAAUUACUCCCCAAGUGCCAUAUUUCAUGUGUCACGAUGGGGGGAGCAAAUCUGCCUCGGAGUGCGCUGGAUCCGCCUCGGGAUCGUCACAGGAGCAGCAGCACAGGCAAUCUUUGCCGGGAUCCGCGCGCACUGACGCGCCAGAACCGACAGCGGGUCCGCCCGCCUAUGGGACCGGCAGCGACUCCGCGUGUGCCACGCGCCCGUCCGCAGCUGGAGCUGACCCUACGCCCGCCCCGCACCACUCAGCACCCGACAACUGGCAGCAUCCGGGUGGUCGAAGCGGCGCGCGUUUUCUGGACGAAUCGCGCUGCUACAAGCGGCGCGUUGAGGCGCGGCUGACGGGCACUGAAUCUGGUGCAGAUUCGCGCGGGCCCGCGCAAUCGCGUGCGCCUGACGAGCCAGUCGGGAGGCCGGGAUCUUCUGCGGCGCAUACAACACCUGGUUCACGGGCCGAAGCCACAGAAGAUCCGGGGCGAGCACGAGGCGAAUCUGCCUCGGAGUCUGCAGCGCCUAGAUCUCCUGCAGUGUCCGGAACUCCUGUUCCUGGUUUGGGAUUUUUUGUGGCUGCCGAUUCUGCUGCACCGUCACAACGACAAACACGACUACGAGAAGGAAAAGCAAAAAAUGAAACCUGUAAGAGCAGCUGCAUCUCAGUCAUUUUUGGAAAAGAAAAAGAAAAGGCAAAAACAAAGCAGCAGCAUACAUACGUUGCUUUAUGCUUUGGCAAAGAGGAAAGGGGGGAAGCCAGAAACAAAGCAGCAGCUGCAUCAAUAUGGAGGAGGAAGCAGAUAGGAGUAGCUCAAAAUUUUCAAUCCAAGUUUUUGCUAUCUCAGGCUUCUCAUCUGCUGUCUGCUGUUGAGGUGGUGCCAAGAUCUAUGAACCGAUGGGUUAGAUUGAUCGGAUUUGCAGCUGUUCUUGGACAGAGGAAUUCAUCUUGA